UUGAGUCGGGCCUCUAGGAGGUGACAUUUAAGCCGAGAUCUGAAAGAUGGGAAGGAGUCAGCCCAUUAAGGGCGGAGGGAGGGCGGCUUUUUGGUGGACAGAAUAGCAGGUACGAGAGAAGCAGGCAGGAGAGGGCGUGGCUUGCCCCAAGGCUGACAGCAGUUCCUGCAGUCCGGGCGGGAAAAGCCCCAGGCAGACGCAUGGCAAAUCUGUCAUCAGAGAGUCCUUGGUAAAGAGUCUGAGCUUAUUCUAUACCACUGCAGUGACAGGAUCAUGGUCAGUGCCAGGAGAAAUGGAGAGCAGUGUGCAUAUCUGAAGUGUAUUUUGGAGGGAUGAUCAACAUUUUCAUAAAUACUUAUGAUCAGAAUCCUAAAAUGUCAGAGCUAGAAAUGAUCUUACAUGUGUUUAGUCCCCACUGUUACAGAAGGGGAAACCGAGGCCCAGAGAGGGUACAUGGCCUAAGCAAGGUCAUAAGCAGAGCUUAGGUCUACCAGGGUGGUCCUUGGCUCUCCUGGGUCAGGACCUCAGGCUCAGGCUAGGUGCACGCCUGUGGAAACAGAGGCGAGAGCGUCCCCUCUCCACGGACUCCCCCUUUUGGAGUGCACUCACACAAAAGUUUACUCUGAAAACAAGGGCAGUGACCUCAAAGGAACACAAACAUCCUCCCUAGGUGUGCGUGAAACUCUGCACUUUGCUUGGGAAAAGGAAGUUUUGGCUUUCUUCCUCUGUAGUUCCUGCGAAGGUCCUGGGAAGGCACUGACCUAUCCUGAAACCUAGGCUCCCUGGGCAGGACGGAACAAAAGGAGUCCGUGAUGAUGGUUGCUGCUGAUGGAACAGGGCGGGCACGCUUCCUGGAGCCCACAGGGGGAGGGGCUGAGUGGGCCAGCUGAGGGCUACCCUCACUAAGAACAGUCUUUAAAGACGUUUCUUUUGCUACCUAAUUUGUCCCAAAUGAGCUAUUUCAAACCCACUGAAGCCUCUCAGUUCCGCCCCAGUCCUGCUCCCGUGGGCCCUGGGGCAGCCCUUCCAAACUCCCCCUACUGGCUUGGCUGGCCCUAACCUGCUAAGUGGAGAAGGGAAAUCUCUUAUCUCCACUGGCCAGGUGUGAAGCCCCAUCCUGAACCUGUGAAUGGAGGCCCAGCCUGAGGCCAGGCCUGACAGUGGUUUGGCAGGGGGCUCUGUCCAUCCCAUAUGGAACUGCUUUUUGCCCCUCUGAAGGUAAGGUAAAUUUUGGGGUUCAUUUUCAGUGGGGUCAAAAAGCACUGAUGUGUCUUACCAGGAGAGUGGGGGUACAAGGCCAGUGGGAGCCCUGGGUCCCGGAGAGUUCCAAAGGGCUCUAGAAGGCAUGGCAGAGCACACUCCACUGCUCUUCCAGAAGCCAGAGCCUGGCAUCAUCCUGGGCUCCCCCAACCUCUGUGCCAAAGAGCCUGGACCUGGAUAUUUGAAAACUGAGAGGUCCCAACCCUCCUCUGAGGAAGCCUGGACCUCAAAUGCCAUAUCCACCCAAACGGCUGGUCCUCCCGCUGGGUUUACAGCCAUCAUCUCAGAGGGCCCCCCAGCAAGCCGAUGAAGUCCCAUCAUCUCCUCCCCAAGCCUGUGAAAGGAGGCUUGCUGUGAACCUCCUCUUGUUAUGCACAUGCUCUUCUACCUGCUCUGGGAGGGGCUGAUGCAGGAGACUUUCAGGCUGAUACAAGUUGGGGUUCCAUGCUAGGGCCAUGGGCACUGUGGUAGGUGUUAACUAGGGACACAAAAAGGACUAACAGAGGAUGCCCCCAUCCCAGGCAGCCUUCAGUCUGCCCAGAAAAAGAUAAGGCACACCUUGGAUAACAUUAGACAAGGUUUCUGAUAGAUGAGCCCAGGGGAGUGGUCCUAGCUAGAGGAAACAUAGGGCUGGAAACUAAGCUGAGGCUCUGCAUGGGAUGGUCUCAUUCUAGAACUCGAAGGAUGGAACAUUCCAGAAGGAAUGCCAGCAUGGCCAAGAGGGAGGCCUCUAAGCAAGGUAUCCAAGGACGAAAUCAUUCUGCCCUUUACAGAAGGCUUCCUGGAGCAGGUGAAAGUGAAUGAGGGUGUCAACUGGUAGGAGAGUUAGACAAUACAAGGAAACAAAGACACUGGGUGAGGAGGUUCAGGAAGAGGACUGAAGGCCAGCUGGAAUGGAGGCCCCUGUCAGGAAGUAAGGAAAGGAUAGGCACAGGAGACUUUUGGGGUAGGAGUCCCAAACUGGGAAAAGCAUCUGGGCUGCCAGGUGGCUAAAGCCUACUGAAUCUACAGUGAGGUUGCUUGAGCUGAGCCACUGUGGGAUGUGAGGGACACUAAGGAGGUCCCAAGGCAGCCAGGUAUGUGAUGGCAAGCAGUGACUGGGGCUCCAUCCCCCAGGUGCUCCACAACACAGAAGACCGAGCCAGGAGAGAGCAGCUCCCCUCUGUGGGUUGAAGAACACUGGCUUUUGAGAGACGACGAUCUACCGGGCAUGGCUGGGUCAUUCAGGGUGUGACUGCCAGGCUGCUAACAAAGAGUGUGCAGCGGCUCCCUUAAGGACAGGACAGCAAAUAGGAACCACAGUGUCCAGUCCCUGCCUGGCAGCACGUAGCCACCCAGCAUGAAGGACAGUCAUUCAGGAAGGGCUCUGUUGCCUUCCAAAUUGCCUGGGCUUUGGGCAGAGGCCUUCUCCUCCUUGAGAGCGCUUAACCCCCAGGGCAACACAGGGCCUCUGUUCCAAGACAAAAAGCAUGCUGAGGUGACACCAACCAUGCCUUUCUUUACGUUGGCAAUCUCAUGCCCACACCUAAAUAUAGAUGCUGGUGCAGAACAUCUGCCCGCUGCCACAGAAUUGGUAAAGUCCGACUUACAACAGAAGGGCGUGGUGUUAAGACUCUAGAAGCUUUUCACUACGCGUUGUUAGGAUCCCAAGUUCCUUUUUCGUUCAGAUUGAACAUCCUCAGCUACAGGUGAAGAUGGCACGGGGCCUGGCGGUGGGAGACAGCCACGCAAACUGGACAGACAUGCAGCUUCUCACCAGGAGGGAGGAAGAGGCAUUGAGUCCCAGGGCCCCAGCCUGAGGCUUCCCUCUGAACGGGACUUCUCUCAGCGGCUCCAAACUACCCUGAGAAGGAGGUAAAUCAAAGUUCACGCUGGAAACAUCAAACCCAAGCAGAAAAAUAACACAGAGCAAGAUCGUGGAUGGUCCUAGCUCUUUAAAAUCACACUUAAAAAUCACUUUAUCUUUCUUAAUAAAUUAUUGCAAGCUGAA